rnacentral:rRNA from 1 species
UACGUAGGGGCCAAGCGUUGUCCGGAUUUAUUGGGCGUAAAGAGCUCGUAGGCGGUUCGGCAAGUCAGCUGUGAAAUCUCCACGCUCAACGUGGAGGGGUCAGCUGAUACUGCUGUGACUCGAGUCCGGGAGAGGGAUGCGGAAUUCCAGGUGUAGCGGUGAAAUGCGUAGAUAUCUGGAGGAACACCGGUGGCGAAGGCGGCAUCCUGGACCGGUAUUGACGCUGAUGAGCGAAAGCCAGGGGAGCAAACGGG